rnacentral:rRNA from 1 species
UUGGCGGCCUCGGCCUCGGGGUCCUUGGGCUUGACCGGGCGUCCGCGGGGGCGCGGCGAGGCGGGCUUGGGCGGCGCGUUGGGGUCAAUGGGCUUGCGCGGGCGGCCGCGGCCCCGCUUGGGCGGGGCGUCCGGCGCGUCGGUGCGGAAGUAG